rnacentral:rRNA from 1 species
AGUGAACGCUGGCGGUAGGCCUAACACAUGCAAGUCGAACGGCAGCACAGUAAGAGCUUGCUCUUACGGGUGGCGAGUGGCGGACGGGUGAGGAAUACAUCGGAAUCUACUUUUUCGUGGGGGAUAACGUAGGGAAACUUACGCUAAUACCGCAUACGACCUACGGGUGAAUGCAGGGGAUCUUCGGACCUUGCGCGAUUGAAUGAGCCGAUGUCGGAUUAGCUAGUUGGCGGGGUAAAGGCCCACCAAGGCGACGAUCCGUAGCCGGUCUGAGAGGAUGAUCAGCCACACUGGAACUGAGACACGGUCCAGACUCCUACGGGAGGCAGCAGUGGGGAAUAUUGGACAAUGGGCGCAAGCCUGAUCCAGCCAUACCGCGUGGGUGAAGAAGGCCUUCGGGUUGUAAAGCCCUUUUGUUGGGAAAGAAAAGCAGCAGGUUAAUACCCCGCUGUUCUGACGGUACCCAAAGAAUAAGCACCGGCUAACUUCGUG